rnacentral:lncRNA from 1 species
UGGUCCCGCGAUCCUACUUGAGGGAAAACAGGCUAUCUCUUUAGCCCCGCCCCGCGCUUUGCAUUCUGGGAAGCGGAGUUCCAGCCUUUCUCUUUCCGCGGGAGGGAAUGAAAGGGAGGGUGGUGGAUGUGCCCAAGACACAGGGAAGAAAAAGAAGUAAACAGGGAAGUACAACACAGACUCUGAAAUGGGGCAUCAUGGAAGACGGAGCUUUGUCGUCUUGGUCUUUGCUGUAUAUUCACUUCCUACAACAGUGCUAAAUACCUUGUGGAUGCUUAAAUAUAUUAAAUGAAUGCAUAAAUGAAAAGAGUAAAUAAAGAGUGUAUAUGAAAGUAUGUAGAUAAAAUUCUUCACUAAGCCUUGGGGAUCCAGCUGCUUAAGGACUAAGACCGUAUCUAGCUCCUUUUAGUAUUUCCACAGCAUGCCAUGGAGAUACAUGUUUCUGAUUAUAUAUGAUACAUGGAAAUUAUAUGUUGUUGAAUGAGUGAUUGAGUAAAUGUGUACUAGGGCAGCUAAUCAUAAAUAUUUCUACUAUUGCUAAAAUGACUGGAUUUAUCCAUUCCUUCUGAGAGUUUAUACUGAUUGCUUAUAUUGUAUCAAAUACCGUAACUGAGGGCAAUGUUUACUCAAACUAAUAGCACCAUUCAAAUUUAUGCAAACAAUAACACUAUAUCUUUAAAAUGUUUUCACUAAAAGCUGCAUAAAGAGUGUAUUCAACAACAAUAGAAUAAUUUUACAAUCUUUUUUCUUGCUUAAUGGCCAUUUGUGCCUUCUGACAUGCUGCUAGCCAUUCAAAGGUCACACUACCUUGAAGUUGAAGAUCAAGACAAAUGAUUAGACUCAUAAAAGACAAAUCACGUCUUUCUGGACAGGUGAUUAUUAAUAAUUAAUUAGCAUUUAAACAUGUAUUAUUUAAGUUCUUUUUAAGUUAUAAAGUCUUUGAUUUGCUAAACAGUUUAAAUAAUGAAUAAAACAUAAAAUAAUAAUAGUUACCAUUUAUUUAAUUCCAUAAUAACUGAUUUGUAUGUAUUAUAAGCUUUCUUUCUGAAAGCAGAGUUUGGAGGUGGGUUCAUAACUUUCUACAAACAGAAAACUGAGAUUUAGAGGGUUAGCUAGGGAAGAAUUUAAAAUUAGAUCCGUCUUAUUAAAAAAACAAUCUAUGUUCUUGUCUUAGUCAGCUUGGGCCUCCAUAACAAAAUACAAUGGACUGUUGGCUUCAAAAACUGAAACUUAUUUUCUCACAGUUUUGGUGGCUGGUGGGUCAGAGAUCAAGGUGUUGGCCAAAUGUGUUUUUUUUUUUUUUUUUGAGGAUUCUCUUCCUGGCUCACAAAUGGCUGCUUUCCUUGUCAUUGAUGACUUGAUACAGAGGGGGAGAGGGAGAGAGAGAGAGAGCAAAGUGUGUGUUUGUGUGUGUGUCUCUGUGUGUGUUUAUAUUAGAGAGAGAGAGAGACAGAGAUCUUACACUUUUUAUAAGGUCACAGUCUUGUGGUAUUAGUACCUCAUUUUUAUGACCUCAUUUAACCUUAAUUACCUCCUAGAGCCUUUAUCGCCAGAUACAGUCACAUUUCACAUCGAAGGUUUGGGCUUCGACAUAUAAAUUCUGUGGGAUACAAUUCAGUCCAUAGCAAUUCUGAAGCACUAUAAUAUACUCUUUUAAUUUUUAAAUAAAGAUGGAAUUAUUUAA